rnacentral:rRNA from 1 species
GAUGAACGCUGGCGGCGUGCCUAAUACAUGCAAGUCGGGCGAACAGACGAGGAGCUUGCUCCUCUGACGUUAGCGGCGGACGGGUGAGUAACACGUGGAUAACCUACCUAUAAGACUGGGAUAACUUCGGGAAACCGGAGCUAAUACCGGAUAAUAUAUUGAACCGCAUGGUUCAAUAGUGAAAGACGGUUUUGCUGUCACUUAUAGAUGGAUCCGCGCCGCAUUAGCUAGUUGGUAAGGUAACGGCUUACCAAGGCAACGAUGCGUAGCCGACCUGAGAGAGUGAUCGGCCACACUGGAACUGAGACACGGUCCAGACUCCUACGGGAGGCAGCAGUAGGGAAUCUUCCGCAAUGGGCGAAAGCUUGACGGAGCAACGCCGCGUGAGUGAUGAAGGUCUUCGGAUCGUAAAACUCUGUUAUUAGGGAAGAACAAAUGUGUAAGUAACUAUGCACGUCUUGACGGUACCUAAUCAGAAAGCCACGGCUAACUACGUG